ACCCGCCAGCCCCGCGCUCUACCAGGCAGAGCGCGUGUGGCCGCCGAGCACAUGGACCCACUGGUCAAGCGGGCUCGGCAAGGCCAGGAUGAAGAGAAGCUACGAACUUAGCAUUCCCAGAGCCCCCCGAGUGGAUAUCCGCGUGGAAAGGAUGUUGGCAGCCCCGGUGACCUCGGAGUCACGGCUGGAUCCACCCUCUUGUCUGAUUUUCUUAACUCUACUACGGUAAGAAGAUGCCCUCCAUCAGCAGGCCGUGUCUGCUGGGACCUCUCUGGAGACUUCCUGAACCCUGUGGAUUUACAGUAAGAUGCAGUUUCCUGGGGAGUAAUUCUGGUGGAUACAAAUUCCGGAGUAUUACACCUGGCUUGCCUGGAGAUGUUACAAGUAGCUGGAUGGAUUCUUCAGCCUGGAUGCCCACUGAAAACAAGGACCGAAACUAAGAGGAUUGUAUCUCUACCCUUGACUCAAUGAGAAUGUUUGUUGUCAUCUCUCGGGCUACCUGGAGCUCCCUCUAAAAUGGGCUGGGACACUGCCUGAUUGAGGUGGCCAUUGAGAAUUCAAGUGUACCUCUUGGUCCCUGAUGCAGAAAUGAAGUCCCCAGCAUGCUCAAGAAGAGCUUCCUUGGAGGAUGAGAGGCAUGGGAAUCUAAGUAUACCCUUUAAGCGUUCCAGAAGGAUUUUGAGAUCCUUUCCUAAAUCAAAGGUGGAAUAUUUGGGGAUUUGGAAAAUUGAGCAUUUUUUUCCCCACUUGCUUGACUGUAAUGCUAACAUGCUCUCUCUGCUCCAACCUGGAGAAGCCAGUCUCUCAGAAGAACCAGUUGUGUUACUUUGCUGUGAGAUGCCUGCCCUAAGAGAGGAGCAGAAGGUCGGAACGGGUCCUCUAAUGUGAUAAUUAGAUGUGAAGCGUUGACUUAAGAGAUGCCAAGUAACUCAGCAGAUGUCACACAGACGAUAAAUAGCAAAGAUGGAAGUCUUCAUGCCGGAGGCAAUCCUAUAAGACAGCUGAGUUCUGCAGAGCUGGUAGGAGACAGACUUGCUCAGGUGAUAGAUCCAGCCAUGAUACUGACCCUAAGAGAAUGAGACGCUCUGCAGAAGACAGAAGAUUCCUGAAACUGGGAAAGGUGCCUAGAAAUCCUGAUAAGAGUGAAGAAGGAGCUGGCAGAGCAGCCUUCCUCCGCACUAUGAAAGACAUCCAACAGAGAGCAAGUUCCCACCUCACUUCCAGCUUGACUCCUUUUUAUCUCCUAACUGUGGUCUGUGAUGUCUUCAGCAAUGGUAUUAACUAGUUCUGGGUACCUGGAGGCACAGCAGCCAUGUUGAACCUAUGAGGUGAUGAAAAACCAUGCAACUAGAAACCAGAAUGGAAGAAAAGAAGAAGCUGGAUCCUUGACUGAAUUGUCGAUGGGGGAUAGUCCAUCAUCCCAGGGCUAAGACCACCUCCAGAUUUCUUGUUUGGUGAAACAAGUCCUGAUUGUUUACAUUCCCUCGUGUUGAGCUGUCUCUUGCUUGUAGCUGAAAGCAUUUCUAAUAGAUAUUCAGAUUAUCAGCCUUAGCUCCAAGCUAGAAUACUCUAUGGGACCUUAGCUUCUCCAUGAAUUCCUUUGCUCAUCUGUGUAAUGCUCAAUAAAUGUAAAUUGAACCCUGAAUGAGGGACAAUGACA
rnacentral:lncRNA from 1 species